UUCCGAUAAAGGCAAACCCGGUUCGAGAUGGGCGCAAGAAGACUGACGCCCCUCUCGAGCUCCCAGGCGAAAGUCAGGGACCGCAAGGCGGGGACGCAGAGCCACGGGCCCCGAUGCAACGCGGGGCCGCCGGGUUACCGAA
rfam:Armatimonadetes bacterium CG2_30_59_28 cg2_3.0_scaffold_11321_c, whole genome shotgun sequence.